UCGGUCUGAAUUGCACCGUAAUCGCCAAAACCUUGGCCUAAUUUGCAGCUAAUAGAUCUCGAGCGAGGGAGUCGGGAAGAAACCAGUGGCUUUGGAGGGAUCGGAAAUUAAGGGACUAGAAGAAGGAUGUGAUUCCUAUUAUUCUCCCCCUCCCCCUCCUGCACACGACCAUGUGUCUCCUGGCUGGGCCUUUGGGGACGCGGCCCCUGGCCCUCCGUGGCCUGUGUUCCUGUUGUUCGCUUCUCUCCCAGCGGACCACUGUGUCUGGGGCGCCGCGCCCUCCGGUGCGCUCAGACCUCGCGCCCUCCGACCGGCUUCUCCCAGUCCCCGGGAGGAGGCGCUGUGCCCGGGCUGGCCUCUGGUCCCUCCCAGCCGAUGUCCUGGAGCCCCCAUUCACAAAACCCCUCCUGGAAGAGGACACACACCCACCCACCCACACACACACACACACACCCCACACACGCACUACGAGAAGGGGAGUUUGAUCUUGUCUCAUUGGCGUCUCGGGUCUGAAAGGAAAAUCGUUUGGGUAAACAGCCAAGCUUCCAGGCUUAACGCCCGGCUCCCGCCCCCGCCCCUCCAUCCCCUCCUGCCUCCCCCACUCGCCUUCAACCCCACCCGCCACCCACACUCGGCUCCGCAGCCGGGCCCCGAGCGAGCUCCGCGAGUCCUGGCGAGAGCCGAGGGCUCCCCGGGUUCAAAGGGCCGCAGCCCCGAGGGAACGCCCUCCUUGCUGUGCCCCGGGGGGCAGAAGCGGACUGCUGGGCGGUGGGACCGGCCUGGGCCACGAAGUUCAUGGAUUCGAAUGCCAAAGACACAAUAUUGGUUUUGAUGCACUUGCAGUAGCACAAAGUGAAGUCCUGGCGGCCUUAUCCUAGUUUCAUAAAAGAAAAAAAAGUUAAAGAGAUGGGGAAGAUAAUAGCUAAAAAACAACAACAAAAAAGCUGAAUUCAAACUGCGAUGACUUUAUCAAAGGACUGUCCUACUGACAUUCAACAUAACAUCAAAAUUAACAUCACCUUGCCAAUAUUUGUAGUUUAGUCACAACUUUUCAACUACACUCUACUCUCUUUUGGGGAAAAGAAAGUUACGCAUGCUAGCUGUUUUCAAGUUUGGCAGAUGCACUUUGAAAAUACUCGUUGGAGAGUGAGAUUAAAAACAAAAACGCUGUGUAAUAUUUCUAUUACCAGGAGCAAAAUUGUUUCUAUGAAAAAAUAUUUGAGGAACAUCUUUAAUUUGUUGCUGGAAUUGAUUUGUGUGUGUUUGUUGCUUAAUUCUCUGUUCUGGUCAAAAAGCUGUCAAGUUGGAUCAGGCCGUUUGAUCCUAUCCUAUUUCCAGUCUUCUUCUAGGACCUGUGAGCACGGGCAAACACUUUUUAAUUAUCCUGAUCAAGUGUGGGGGACAUCCUUUUGCUGACCCCACUUGUAAUCAACUGUGAUCUCCUAGAAGCAGGCGAAUUGAUUGCUUCUGUCCUCCCCAACUAACCAGAAGAGUAGGUCUUGCAUUAUCCUGGGCCUUUGAAAAACCCAACUCAGUGAUUGAUUUUGUGGCUGCCGGUGGCAGCAAAUUCCUCAGCAUGAAUUCUACCAAGUGAAAAAGUAUUUCCUAUAACUUGCUUUAAAUUUCCUUAGCAUUAACUUCUCUGAGUGGCCCAGUCUCUUAUGGGACAAUGUAAUAAGGAUCUAUCGGUUUUACUGCCUAGUACAUAUCUUUAAUGCCUAAGUAAAUCUCUCUUAUUUUUC
rnacentral:lncRNA from 1 species